ACCCCACCCCACCCCAAACUUCUUCUUCUUUACCAUUAGAACACUAAAACCCUCCUUCAUCUACACUGCAUCAACCUCCCAGCCAUUCCCUCUUCUUCUUCAACCAAGACAACACCAAAAAAAUCGUAACUCCUUUUCAGAAAACCUUUCUGUCGCCGCUUCUACAGUCAUCAGCCAUCAGACCUAACUUUCAGCACCCCUUCUUCUUCUUGACACCUUCGAAAUGGUCGCUAGCCACAUCCCUUGACCACGCCGGCCGCUACCAGAGUCCACCGAAAAGAAGCAGCAUCCAACGUCACUCUCAACCAGCUCCACCGGUGACCACUCACACAUGCAUAGUAGCGAAAAAUAGAGGUAGAGAAGUUAAAAGGAGCGAAGGUUUUCUGAUUUUGAGCCUUUCUUCUAAUUAGGUGUUCAUUCACAGAAAAGAAUCCCAAAAAGAACUAUAAUUCCUUUAGUUUGUUUCUUCCAAUUUCUAAACAAAAAAACACAAAAAAAAAUUAUUAGUUUCUUAAUAUGGUUUUCAACUAUGGAUUUCAUCUGAGGUAUAGCUGAGGGUCGAUUUUCUUCAGUUGUUGGUUCUAGUUCAUUUCCAUAUUCGGCUCCAAUUCGUUUGUCGUUGUUUCAUUCUUCUCUGUUCGGAUUUGUCAACAUCGAGUUUAAUCGAAAGCUGUAAUUUCAGCUCCAUCUAUCCCCCUCUUCACUGUUAUUUGCUAUGUUAUUUCGUGGUUGUCAUUAAAAUAUGUUGCUGGCCUAUUCUCUUCGUUGAUUUUUUUUGUUUCAUAUGUGUUCGUUAUAUGACUUAGUUCUGAUUUUAGAUUUAGUUUUACUAUGUUGGAUUUGUGUUGAAUGUCUGGUGUUUUAUUGUGUAGUUAUCUCGGAUUUAAUUUCCUUAUAUUUGUGGUAAAUUUUGAUUAAAUAAUACUUAGAAAUCCUAUGUUCUCUCUUAA
rnacentral:lncRNA from 1 species